rnacentral:rRNA from 1 species
CCAGCAGCCGCGGUAAUUCCAGCUCUGUAAGCGUAUACCAAAGUUGUUGCAGUUAAAACGCUCGUAGUCGGAUAUUGGCAGCUCCGGGAGUGUGCGCGUCGUGUGUGCGCUCAGCGGGGGUUGCUUUUGUGGUAUUGUGUGUGAUGAAGCAUUUUAAUUAAUGAACGUCUAUCGCGACCACUUUUUACUGUGAGAAAAUCAGAGUGUUCAAAGCAGGCAUUUGUCGUGAAUGUAUUAGCAUGGAAUAAUGGAAUAGGACUUGUUUCUAUUUUGUUGGUUUGUUGUUGGGAACGAGUAAUGAUUAAGAGGGACAGUUGGGGGCAUUUGUAUUUGGAGGCUAGAGGUGAAAUUCUUAGAUUCUCCAAAGACAAACUGCUGCGAAAGCGUCUGCCAAGGAUGUUUUCAUUGAUCAAGAACGAAAGUAAGGGGAUCGAAGACGAUCAGAUACCGUCGUAGUCUUUACUAUAAACGAUGAGGACUGGGGAUCGGGCGAGGGAUUACGAUGACCCGCCCGGCACCCUUCGAGAAAUCAAAGUGUUUGCUUUCUGGGGGGAGUAUGGUCGCAAGUCUGAAACUUAAAGGAAUUGACGGAAGGGCACCACCAGGUGUGGAGCCUGCGGCUUAAUUUGACUCAACACGGGA